AUUGAACGCUGGCGGAAUGCUUUACACUUGCAAGUCGAACGGUAGAGGGGGCAACCCCUCGAGAGUGGCGAACGGGUGAGUAAUAUAUCGGAACGUGCCCAGUCGUGGGGGAUAACGUAGCGAAAGUUACGCUAAUACCGCAUACGAUCUAAGGAUGAAAGCGGGGGAUCGCAAGACCUCGCGCGAUUGGAGCGGCCGAUAUCAGAUUAGGUAGUUGGUGGGGUAAAGGCUCACCAAGCCAACGAUCUGUAGCUGGUCUGAGAGGACGACCAGCCACACUGGAACUGGGACACGGUCCAGACUCCUACGGGAGGUAGCAGUGGGGAAUUUUGGACAAUGGACGCAAGUCUGAUCCAGCCAUUCCGCGUGCAGGAUGAAGGCCCUCGGGUUGUAAACUGCUUUUGUACGGAACGAAAAGGUCUCUCUUAAUACGGGGGACUCAUGACGGUACCGUAAGAAUAAGCACCGGCUAACUACGUGCCAGCAGCCGCCGUAA
rnacentral:rRNA from 1 species